rnacentral:rRNA from 1 species
UACGUAGGGUGCAAGCGUUUGUCCGGAAUUAUUGGGCGUAAAGAGCUCGUAGGCGGUUUGUCGCGUCUGCUGUGAAAACUGGAGGCUCAACCUCCAGCCUGCAGUGGGUACGGGGCAAACUAGAGUGCGGUAGGGGAGAUUGGAAUUCCUGGUGUAGCGGUGGAAUGCGCAGAUAUCAGGAGGAACACCGAUGGCGAAGGCAGGGUCUCUGGGCAUUAACUGACGCUGAGGAGCGAAAGCUGGGGAG